GACGAACGCUGGCGGCGCGCUUAACACAUGCCAGUCGAACGGAAAGGCCCUGCUUUUGUGGGGUGCUCGAGUGGCGAACGGGUGAGUAACACGUGAGUAACCUGCCCUUGACUUUGGGAUAACUUCAGGAAACUGGGGCUAAUACCGGAUAGGAGCUCCUGCUGCAUGGUGGGGGUUGGAAAGUUUCGGCGGUUGGGGAUGGACUCGCGGCUUAUCAGCUUGUUGGUGGGGUAGUGGCUUACCAAGGCUUUGACGGGUAGCCGGCCUGAGAGGGUGACCGGCCACAUUGGGACUGAGAUACGGCCCAGACUCCUACGGGAGGCAGCAGUGGGGAAUAUUGCACAAUGGGCGGAAGCCUGAUGCAGCAACGCCGCGUGCGGGAUGACGGCCUUCGGGUUGUAAACCGCUUUCGCCUGUGACGAAGCGUGAGUGACGGUAAUGUGUAAAGAAGCACCGGCUAACUACGUG
rnacentral:rRNA from 1 species